CGGCGGACGGGUGAGUAACACGUGGAUAACCUACCUAUAAGACUGGGAUAACUUCGGGAAACCGGAGCUAAUACCGGAUAAUAUAUUUAACCGCAUGGUUCAAUGGUGAAAGACGGUUUUGCUGUCACUUAUAGAUGGAUCCGCGCCGCAUUAGCUAGUUGGUAAGGUAACGGCUUACCAAGGCAACGAUGCGUAGCCGACCUGAGAGGGUGAUCGGCCACACUGGAACUGAGACACGGUCCAGACUCCUACGGGAGGCAGCAGAG
rnacentral:rRNA from 1 species